GUCUACAGUCAUACCACUCUGAACGCGCCCGAUCUCAUCUGAUCUUGGAAGCUAAACAAGGUUGGGCCUGGUUAGUACUUGGAUGGGAGACCUACUGGGAAUACUGAGUGCUGUAGAUG
rnacentral:rRNA from 1 species